AAUAGAUACCCGGGUAGUCCACGCCGUAAACGAUGGAUGCUAGCUAUUGGGGGGAAUCGACCCCCUCCGAAGCGAAGCUAGCGCGUUAAGCAUCCCGCCUGAGUAGUACGAGCGCAAGCUUAAAACUCAAAGGAAUUGACGGGGACCCGCACAAGCGGUGGAGCGUGUGGUUUAAUUCGAUGGUAAACGAAGAACCUUACCAAGGUUUGACAUCCCGGUAGCCGUUCUCCGAAAGGAGAAUUUCAUUUAGUUGGACCGGUGACAGGUGAUGCAUGGCCGUCGUCAGCUCGUGUCGUGAGAUGUUGGGUUAAGUCCCGCAACGAGCGCAACCCUUAUGAUUUAGUUGGAUUUUUCUAAACAGACUGCCCUGGUAACAGGGAGGAAGGAGGGGAUGAUGUCAGGUCAGUAUUUCCCUUACACCUUGGGCGACACACGCGCUACAAUGGCCGGUACAAUGGGCAGCUAAGCCGCGAGGUGGAGCAAAUCCCAUCAAAGCCGGUCCCAGUUCGGAUUGCAGGCUGAAACCCGCCUGCAUGAAGCCGGAAUCGCUAGUAA
rnacentral:rRNA from 1 species